AGGACGAACGCUGGCGGCGUGCUUAACACAUGCAAGUCGAGCGGAAAGGCCCUUCGGGGUACUCGAGCGGCGAACGGGUGAGUAACACGUGAGCAACCUGCCCUUAGCUUCGGGAUAGCUCCGGGAAACCGGAAUUAAUACCGAAUAUGACCAAGGCCGACAUCAGCCUUGGUGGAAAGUUUUUCGGCUAGGGAUGGACUCGCGGCCUAUCAGCUAGUUGGUGAGGUAACGGCUCACCAAGGCGACGACGGGUA
rnacentral:rRNA from 1 species